CUCCUUUCCCUUUGCAACUCUAGAACUUUUCCAUCUAGGCUUCUUCACUACCUCCCUUAUUACCUCAUCACUUUUAUUUUCCUCACUCUCCACACCUUUCUCUUUUUCAACUUCACCAUUAUUUUUAUUCUUUUCCACUACUUCCUCAUCACUCCACACUCCUACUUCACCAUCAACAUUUUCUUCCACUAUUUCCUCCUCAAUCUCCUUCUCUUUCUCUCUUUGUUCACUCUCAACUCUUUUUU
rnacentral:lncRNA from 1 species